CCUAACACAUGCAAGCCGAGCGGUAGAGAUUCUUCGGGAAUUUUGAGAGCGGCGUACGGGUGCGGAACACGUGUGCAACCUGCCUUUAUCAGGGGGAUAGCCUUUCGAAAGGAAGAUUAAUACCCCAUAAUAUUUAGAAUGGCAUCAUUUUAAAUUGAAAACUCCGGUGGAUAGAGAUGGGCACGCGCAAGAUUAGAUAGUUGGUGAGGUAACGGCUCACCAAGUCUACGAUCUUUAGGGGGCCUGAGAGGGUGAUCCCCCACACUGGUACUGAGACACGGACCAGACUCCUACGGGAGGCAGCAGUGAGGAAUAUUGGACAAUGGGUGCGAGCCUGAUCCAGCCAUCCCGCGUGAAGGACGACGGCCCUAUGGGUUGUAAACUUCUUUUGUAUAGGGAUAAACCUAGAUACGUGUAUCUAGCUGAAGGUACUAUACGAAUAAGCACCGGCUAACUCCGUGCCAGCAGCCGCGGUAAUACGGAGGGUGCAAGCGUUAUCCGGAUUUAUUGGGUUUAAAGGGUCCGUAGGCGGAUCUGUAAGUCAGUGGUGAAAUCUCACAGCUUAACUGUGAAACUGCCAUUGAUACUGCAGGUCUUGAGUGUUGUUGAAGUAGCUG
rnacentral:rRNA from 1 species